CCUACGGGUGGCUGCAGUAGGGAAUAUUGCUCAAUGGGGGAAACCCUGAAGCAGCAACGCCGCGUGGAGGAUGACGGUUUUAGGAUUGUAAACUCCUUUUGUGAGAGAAGAUAUUGACGGUAUCACACGAAUAAGCACCGGCUAACUCCGUGCCAGCAGCCGCGGUAAUAUGGAGGGUGCCAGCGUUACUCGGAAUCACUGGGCGUUAAGGGUGCGUAGGCGGGUUUUUAAGUCAGAUGUGAAAUCCUGUAGGUUAACCACAGAACUGCAUUUGAAACUAUAGGUCUAGAGUGUAGGAGAGGUAGGUGGAAUUCGUGGUGUAGGGGUAAAAUGCAUAGAUAUCAAGAGGAAUACUCAUAGCGAAGGCGACCUACUGGAACAUUACUGACGCUCAUGCACGAGAGCGUGGGUAGCAAACAGGAUUAGAUACCCGGGUAGUC
rnacentral:rRNA from 1 species